AUUGAACGCUGGCGGCAGGCCUAAUACAUGCAAGUCGAGCGGAUGAAGGGAGCUUGCUCCUGGAUUCAGCGGCGGACGGGUGAGUAAUGCCUAGGAAUCUGCCUGGUAGUGGGGGAUAACGUCCGGAAACGGGCGCUAAUACCGCAUACGUCCUGAGGGAGAAAGUGGGGGAUCUUCGGACCUCACGCUAUCAGAUGAGCCUAGGUCGGAUUAGCUAGUUGGUGGGGUAAAGGCCUACCAAGGCGACGAUCCGUAACUGGUCUGAGAGGCUGAUCAGUCACACUGGAACUGAGACACGGUCCAGACUCCUACGGGAGGCAGCAGUGGGGAAUAUUGGACAAUGGGCGAAAGCCUGAUCCAGCCAUGCCGCGUGUGUGAAGAAGGUCUUCGGAUUGUAAAGCACUUUAAGUUGGGAGGAAGGGCAGUAAGUUAAUACCUUGCUGUUUUGACGUUACCAACAGAAUAAGCACCGGCUAACUUCGUG
rnacentral:rRNA from 1 species